UACGGAGGGGGCUAGCGUUGUUCGGAAUUACUGGGCGUAAAGCGUACGUAGGCGGCUUUGUAAGUUAGAGGUGAAAGCCCGGGGCUCAACCCCGGAAUUGCCUUUAAGACUGCAUCGCUUGAACGUCGGAGAGGUGAGUGGAAUUCCGAGUGUAGAGGUGAAAUUCGUAGAUAUUCGCAAGAACACCAGUGGCGAAGGCGGCUCACUGGUCCGGUACUGACGCUGAGGUGCGAAAGCGUGGGGAGCAAACAGG
rnacentral:rRNA from 1 species